CAAGGCGAUUUCUCACUACUCAGACGAUUUCGACGACGAGAACACCACAAGGAGAACGGAGAACGAAAUCAAUCUCCGAUGAAGCCAGAUGACAAAGAAGAAGAACACCAUAAAUACGAAGAUGUCUACUUCAUCUUCUUCUUCCCAUUUCAAUAGCAUAAGUGAAGGCCCUCCUUGCAU